rnacentral:rRNA from 1 species
CCUACGGGAGGCAGCAGUGAGGAAUAUUGGUCAAUGGGCGGGAGCCUGAUCCAGCCAAGUCGCGUCAGGGAAGAAGGUACUGAGUAUUGUAAACCUCUUUUGCCAGGGGACAAAGGCGGCCACGGGUGGCCGUAAGAGGGUACCUGGCGAAAAAGCAUCGGCUAACUCCGUGCCAGCAGCCGCGGGAAUACGGAGGAUGCGAGCGUUAUCCGGAUUUAUUGGGUUUAAAGGGAGCGUAGACGGCCAUGCAAGCCAGGGGUGAAAGCCCGGGGCCCAACCCCGGGACUGCCCUUGGAACUGCAUGGCUGGAGUGCGGGAGGGGCAGGCGGAAUUCCUGGUGUAGCGGUGAAAUGCGUAGAUAUCAGGAGGAACACCGGCGGCGAAGGCGGCCUGCUGGACCGCGACUGACGUUGAGGCUCGAAAGCGUGGGGAGCGAACAGGAUUAGAUACCCGUGUAGUC